UGUGUGUAGUUUAAAAAAAA
rnacentral:tRNA from 5 species